rnacentral:rRNA from 1 species
AUUGAACGCUGGCGGCAGGCCUAACACAUGCAAGUCGAGCGAGCGGCGGACGGGUGAGUAAUGUAUGGGGACUGCGCGAUCGAGGGGGAUAACUACUGGAAACGGUGGCUACUACCGCAUACUAUCGGAUAACCCAGAUGGGAUUAGCUAGUCGGUGGGGUAAAGGAUCACCUAGGCGACGAUCCCUAGCUGGUCUGAGAGGCUGAUCAGCCACACUGGGACUGAGACACGGCCCAGACUCCUACGGAGGCAGCAGUGGGGAAUAUUGCACAAUGGGCGCAAGCCUGAUGCAGCCAUGCCGCGUGUAUGAAGAAGGCCUUAGGGUUGUAAAGUACUUUCAGCGGGGAGGCGUUACCCGCAGAAGAAGCACCGGCUAACUCCGUGCCAGCAGCCGCGGUAAUUC